rnacentral:rRNA from 1 species
AUUGAACGCUGGCGGCAUGCUUUACACAUGCAAGUCGAACGGUAACAGGCCGCAAGGUGCUGACGAGUGGCGAACGGGUGAGUAAUGCAUCGGAACGUGCCCAGUCGUGGGGGAUAACGCAGCGAAAGCUGCGCUAAUACCGCAUACGAUCUCUGGAUGAAAGCGGGGGACCGAAAGGCCUCGCGCGAUUGGAGCGGCCGAUGUCAGAUUAGGUAGUUGGUGGGGUAAAGGCCCACCAAGCCAACGAUCUGUAGCUGGUCUGAGAGGACGACCAGCCACACUGGGACUGAAACACGGCCCAGACUCCUACGGGAGGCAGCAGUGGGGAAUUUUGGACAAUGGGCGCAAGCCUGAUCCAGCAAUGCCGCGUGCAGGAAGAAGGCCUUCGGGUUGUAAACUGCUUUUGUACGGAACGAAACGGCUCUGGUUAAUACCUGGGGCUAAUGACGGUACCGUAAGAAUAAGCACCGGCUAACUACGUGCCAGCCGCCGCCGUAAAAC